rnacentral:lncRNA from 13 species
GCUAGAAAAGGCAAGGAACAGACUCCCUCUUGAAAAUUCCAGAAGAAAUGGGCUGUGCAAAUACCCCAUAGGACUUAUUUUGGCCCUCUUAUCUCCAGAGCUGGCUAAACAAUGCUUCCUGGAGGAAGGAGGACUCAAGAUGGCGCUGUGAGAACAACCCAGGAUUGGAGCUUGCACUGAAUCCACAAAGAGUUAUAACAAGAGGAGAUGAAAUAAUUCACCUGGAGUAGAAGCAUUGAGACCUUUCACAGAAUUGUCACAAAGGUGAAACUUGACCUCGGUGCCUAGGCUUGUCCCUUCCAUCUGGCCCUGUCCUCUAGGUCUAUGUCAAGUCAAAGGGCCUCAUUCUCAGAGCUGUCUUUUUUUUUUUUUGAGACAGAGUCUUGCUUUGUCGCAGGUGUCACACUGUAGUGCAGUGGCACAAUCUCGGCUCACUGCAAUCUCCGCCUCCUGGGUUUAAGCAAUUCUCCUGUCUCAGCCUCCUGAGUAGCUGAGACUACAGGUGCAAGCCACCACGCCCAGCUAUUUUUUUUGUUGUUGUUUUUUUUGGUAGAGACGGGGUUUCAUCAUGUUGACCAGGAUGGUCUUGAUGUCUUCACCUUGCGAUCCGCCGGCAUCGGCCUCCCAAAGUGCUAGGAUUACAGGUGUGAGCCACUGUGCCCGGCCUUCGGAGCUGCUUCUUAAUUGGCUGGAGUGCAGUGGCAUGAUCUCGGUUCACUGCAAACUCCAUCUCCCAGAUUCAAGUGAUUCUCUUGCCUCAGCCUCCAGAGUCGCUAGGAUUACAGGCGUGCACCACCAUACCCAGCUAACGUUGAUAUUUUUG